GGAGGGCCACUGGUCCUGCCACAUUGGACUCAGCUGUCAGCUGCAGAAGCCCACAAACACUGGGCAUGUUACCUAAGCAGAACCCUGCAAAGUUCCAAGCCAGGCUCAUGACUCAGUGGGGGAAGCAGUGUUUCUCCCUGAAUCAGCCCCAGCCAGGCCACAUCUGAGGCUUAGCCCAGCCAAGAGUCCAGCCACUGCCCAGCUGCCUGUGGACACACGGGCCCUGUGCUGUCUCAGCUGAGAGGUCCCCAUCUACUGACUCACUCGCACCUGGGGCUUCUUGGCUGGUCAUCUGGAAAGGUACAAACUGAAGUUUUCUUUAUCCAAGGCAAUCUUUUAGAAGUCACCCUACGUUUCUUCAAAGUGUCUGGACGCAGUGUGGAGCGUGGUUUAUUUCGUCCAUGUUGCGGCAGCCUGUGUUGGAACUCGCUGAGGUUUGAAGCCUGUCAUCAACAUACAGACUGACAUGAACUUUCAAUGGGAGUCACAGAGGGCUGUACGGGCAAACAGGAGAAAUGACAGGGUACCAAAGACCGCCCUGUCAGCUGAAGGGCACCCUGGAUGCCUGUCUCUGAGCCCUCACACUCCUGUAACCUGUGAAGAGUGGGCAAGCAGAACAGGUGAUGGGUCAUGCAUCUUCCUGACACACUGUGAAGCAGGAAGAAACAGGAACAGUAGCUCUGUGUUACACGUGAGGAGCGAGAAGCACCAACAUGGUUGCUGUCCUGGAACUCACAAAGCAGGCUGCCUGGGCUUGCCAGGGAAGCCCCAGGAAUCUGCCUGUCUCCAUCGUCAUCUCCCCAGUACUGGAGUUACAAGUGUGAGCCAACGCAACUGGCCUUUUCCCAUUGGCUCUGGGGAUGGACUCAGAUCCUCAGGCACUUGCCUGACUGGGCUUCCCUCUUCAGCCCCUUUCUUCCACAAUUCUUAGAUCAUUAUAAGUAAAACGUUAUUAGUGAAUAUGUAUCAUGUUUUUCUCAUGUAUUAUUGUUGUAUUAUUAUAUACGGAUAUAUCAUCAGAGACUCAUAAGAAUAUAAAAGAAAAAGUUACAGUUAUAUGCUCAGACAUUAGCAUUGGUUGUAACUGAUGUUGAGAUUGGAGAACAUUAUUUCCUUAUUUUGUGUUCUCUUAUACAUAACUUUGUAACACAAACAACAAAGACACUGCAAACAUGGAUCUGGCACAGGGUACUUCCCUGACUUAAGUACAAAAAAGAAAUUAAAUUUAAUAUCUAAAGUUCCUGAAAAUAUUUUAUAGUCACACAGCAUGGACCAAGUCUGUUUCAGGAUGUGUGCUCUGUUUCGGAUGAUUGACCAGCAAGCCCCAAGGAUCUGCCUGUCUCCACCACCCCUCGACCUCCUAGCAUUGGAACUGCAGACAGGAGCUGACACACCCAGGCUUUCACAUGGAUGCUAAGAAUGAUCUAACUCAGGUCUCAGGCUUCCACUGCAAGUGUUGCACCCACUGAGCCAUCCAUCCCGCCCCCUCUACUCUUCGGAAGUUUCCAACCCUAAUAUGGUUUCCGACAAUUGUGUCCAACAAUAAAUAUGUUUUGCUUUAGGGAGGAAA
rnacentral:lncRNA from 1 species